rnacentral:rRNA from 1 species
GAUGAACGCUGGCGGCGUGCUUAACACAUGCAAGUCGAACGAAGCACUUUAUUACGAUUUCUUCGGAAUGACGAUUUAGUGACUGAGUGGCGGACGGGUGAGUAACGCGUGGGUAACCUGCCUUAUACAGGGGGAUAACAGUUAGAAAUGACUGCUAAUACCGCAUAAGCGCACAGGAUUGCAUGAUCUGGUGUGAAAAACUCCGGUGGUAUAAGAUGGACCCGCGUCUGAUUAGCUGGUUGGUGAGGUAACGGCCCACCAAGGCGACGAUCAGUAGCCGACCUGAGAGGGUGACCGGCCACAUUGGGACUGAGACACGGCCCAAACUCCUACGGGAGGCAGCAGUGGGGAAUAUUGCACAAUGGGGGAAACCCUGAUGCAGCGACGCCGCGUGAGCGAAGAAGUAUUUCGGUAUGUAAAGCUCUAUCAGCAGGGAAGAAAAAAUGACGGUAC